CUCCCAAGUCUCAUCAGACAAUCGGACAUGCCAAAUUUAUUGAUAUGACUAUUUCAAAGAACUUUUUUCAAAGCUAGGAAUCAUGAUUUUUUUAAAAUUUUCCAUUGAUACUUUUUUUUCUGCUCUCUAGCCUCCCCCUCGCAUCUCUAGUGCUCCACCUCCAGAAUAUAGACCUUACUGGGGUAUGGUAACACUUUGUGUUGCUUCAGUCACCUGCUCACGGCUCAUCCCCCGCUAAAAUUUCUGGCACCACCCUAGAAAAAAAUAUGAAAAUCCGUCUAUGUUAAAAAGAUAGACCAGUAUUAA
rnacentral:lncRNA from 1 species